GCUAUGCAUUCUUGUGGCCCACUAGUUACUGCUUUGCAUGUUUGUGGCCUACUAGUUAUUGGUCUGAUUUCAGAGCUUGUUACUGCUAUGCUUGUGGCCUACAAGCUGUGGGCCUUAAUUCAGAGCUAGUUAUUGUUAUGCGUUCAUGUAGUUCUGGGCCUGCUUUGCAUGCAGUGUCUUUAUGGUAUUUUAAUUGACAUAUCUCAGUUGUCUGCAUACCUACAGUACUGGUGAAACAAGCAAAUUUGUUAAAUUGAUGACCCCGGCCAAAAACAAAUUUUUUGCUGGAUGGACAACGCAAAUUCUGAAUAACCUUGCCUUUGGCGGAAGGAAGACAAUUAUUUAUUUUAAAAUUUAGUGGAAACAUUUAUUAUGCCCCCCUUCGAAGAAGAGGGGGUAUAUUGCUUUGCUCAUGUCGGUUGGUCGGUCGGUAGGUCGGUCGGUCGGUAGGUUGGUCGGUCCGUCCACCAGGUGGUUGUUGUAUGAUAACUCAAGAACGCAUACGCCUAGGAUCAUGAAACUUCAUAGGUAGAUUGAUCAUGACUCGCAGAUGACCCCUAUUGAUUUUGAGGUCACUAGGUCAAAGGUCAAGGUCACGGUGACCCGAAAUAGUAAAAUGGUUUCCGGAUGAUAACUCAAGAACGCAUACGCCUAGGAUCAUGAAACUUCAUGGGUAGAUUGAUCAUGACUCGCAGAUGACCCCUAUCAAUUUUGAGGUCACUAGGUCAAAGGUCAAGGUCACGGUGACCCGAAAUAGUAAAAUGGUUUCCGGAUGAUAACUCAAGAACGCAUACGCCUAGGAUCAUGAAACUUCAUAGGUAGA